rnacentral:rRNA from 1 species
UACAGAGGGUGCGAGCGUUAAUCGGAAUUACUGGGCGUAAAGCGCGCGUAGGCGGCUUUGCAAGUCGGGUGUGAAAUCCCCAGGCUUAACCUGGGAACUGCAUUCGAGACUGCAUUGCUAGAGUAUGGGAGAGGGAAGUGGAAUUUCCGGUGUAGCGGUGAAAUGCGUAGAUAUCGGGAGGAACACCUGUGGCGAAGGCGGCCACCUGGUUGGAUACUGACGCUGAGACGCGAAAGCGUGGGGAGCAAACAGG